CACAAAACAAUGGAAAAACUUUCAAAAACAACAGAGCAAAAAUGUUUUCAUGUUCACACAGCUAAAAUGGCGGACAUGGCAGACGACGGUAGCGUUGAAUCCAAUCCAGUUUCAAUCCAACAAAACAAAAGAUUGUUAAAACCUCAUAUUAUGUGCAUUUUAUAGGCAUCCUGGAAUAUUUACGUACACUCUCACAAUGAACGAUGGGUUUGAUUUUUAAGUAAGGGGACUUUAAUUCACUUCCGGAAAUUUUCCGGAAAUGUUCAGAAAUUAUGAAUAACUCCUAAUAUAAAGAACACAACAAAACGAAUCAGACAUUUGCUGGACAUUCGUAAUUCCUGAAAAAUUUGGGGCUGGAACGAAUUAUUUUUUUGCCAAAUAAAGCCAGAACGAGCAAUCUAUUGACACAUGAUCUGUACCCCAAGUUGUGUGAGGAUCCCGAAAAUAUGAUUCUUUUUUUCAGAGACUCGUUGGUCUACCAUGUACGUAAGUCAUCUUGCUCAGAGAUUGAAUAAGAACUUUGUACAAUUUGUUGGCUUUAAUUGUGGGCCAUAGACGGAAUGCAAUUCCAGCAUUGUGUGAUAUUACAUUGAAAACAAGAGAGGUUACCAAAGCACGAUGUGAAUGCAAUUUCAUUGCAAAUGGAAAAGGCCCAGCCCUUUUGGCUAGCUGUAGAAUUCUGGAACUGAUCUUAUUUUCACGCUCCACCAUCUUUCAGAAUACUGCUUUUGCUAUUUCGAGAAUAGCCCAUAGUAUCGUGCUAUUAAGAUUUCAAUGUUUGUCACUGUUCGAAGGCGUCAUUGAUCGAUGAAAACCGUUGGACGGACACCAAAAACGUAAUCACCAAACGUUCUUUUAUCAAUGGCCAAGCUUUCAAGGUCAGCGAAUUGAAAACGCUUACAUGAAACGCUGUUUGAGUUCAAACCAUCUGCUUGGAUUAAUGAUGGAAGACGUAAAGGAAAAGCCAAUUUUCGGACCGGAGGCAAGAAGUAUUUUUACUAAAGUCUCGUUGUUAGCUGAAAUAACUACCAAGCAGUUGAGUUCGGUACAGUGUGAACAGUUCCAGCAUCCAGAAAUCCAUUUCGGAAUUGAUCCAACGCGACGGGCGUUGGAAGGCGAGGAAGAGAGGUGGCGAAUUAUUUAUCAGUUGUGCUGUUCUACAUUAAACGUGUUUCUUGGGUUGCAACGAGAGUCGCAAAGCUAGAUCUUACCCUGCUAUUUGCCUACUGCUGUAACUGGGCGUUGAUCCGAACGCUGUAGACGGUCACGGUAAUACUCGUCUCCAUUUACUAGCUAAGAAUACGAACGUCCCUCCAUUUUACCUCUCUGCUAGAAUGCUGCUGGAGUGUGGAACUCAUCCUGAUAAACAAAAUCAUUUCAGUGAAACUGUUAUACUCAUUAAAGGCAGACAGAAACCAUUUACCCGAACUGAUCGCUUUCUUUCAUCUGUAACGAAUGUAGUUCUUCCCUUAAGAUGUUUGGCUUCUCAAGCAGUCAGCCAAAAUUGGACCAUUUUUGACGAACGGACACUUCCGUUAGCUCUCCUUUCCAUCGUCCAUCUGCAUUAAAAUUAAUUUAAGCAUUUCAAACUUUGAAAGUCGUCUACGUAUAGUCUACUGUUAAAACGAGACGUAUAUUUUCUCUCUGCUCUUCCAUACCCUUUAAAAUAAAACUUGUGUGGAAGAUAAA